rnacentral:sRNA from 1 species
GAAUCUCCCGUUCGGAAACAUCUCUUAGUCCUCAUUUACUCACUGGGAACCUCGGAGGAUUUCAGCUGAUGUUUUUCUCUCCUUAGACAGUGAGGAGCUCAACAUAACAGGGAAAAGGAGCACAGGAUGCAGCUACUUGGAGGGUGUUGAUUGAAAACUUCGAUCUCCCCACCCCAUUCACGGUUGAUUUGACGGAUUUCUCACCUCGUUCACAGAAAAUUUCAAUUAAGGAACAAACAUGCUACAAAGUUUCAGCCAAUGAGAUACAAGGGAAAUGAUUUCCUGUGGGGCUUUAAGAGAGAAACAAGGAAGAUUGAGUUCUUGUUCUUGUAGAUCCUGAUGUGUGUCAAUUGGUAGAUGGAGCUGCUUCAGUCAUCUUCAAGGAGGAGAUAAGAGGCUCAGGCCCCUUUAGAUGGAAUAUAAUACAGCAGAAGCCUUUUCAUCAAAAGGAUUAAUGCCUGCAUCAUCAUUUCUGCAAUAAAACAAGAAGCUAAGUGGUGGAGGCCACAGACACUUCAAACCUGGAUUCCACAAUUCUAUGUUAAGUGUUGGAGUUUUUAUUAC